AGUGGAUGGGGAGCAACCUAGUUGUGCGUGUGUAAAGGUAGUGCCAAGAAAAGCGAUGAUCAUGUUGAAAAUCAAUUCCCGGUACCCGAAACCGACACAGGUGGGCAAGUAGAGAAUACUAAGGGGCGCGAGGUAACUCUCUCCAAGGAACUCGGCAAAAUGACCCCGUAACUUAGGGAGAAGGGGUGCCACCGAGAGGUGGUCGCAGUGAAGAGGCCCAGGCGACUGUUUAGCAAAAACAUAGGUCUCUGCAAACUCGAAAGAGGAGGUAUAGGGGCUGACGCCUGCCCAGUGCCGGAAGGUUAAAGAAGUUGGUCAGUUUUAGGAUGAAGCUAGCGACUGAAGCCCCGGUGAACGGCGGCCGUAACUAUAACGGUCCUAAGGUAGCGAAAUUCCUUGUCGGGUAAGUUCCGACCCGCACGAAAGGCGUAACGAUCUGGGCGCUGUCUCGGAGAGAGGCUCGGCGAAAUAGGAUUGUCUGUGGAGAUACGGACUACCUGCAUUUGGACAGAAAGACCCUAUGAAGCUUUACUAUAGCUUGGAAUUGUGUUCGGGCUUCCUGUGCGCAGGAUAGGUGGGAGGCGUAGAAGGUAUUCUUGUGGGGAUACUGGAGCCAACGGUGAGAUACCACUCUCAGGAGGCUAGAAUUCUAACUUAAUUAAGGACAGUUUCAGGUGGGUAGUUUGACUGGGGCGGUCGCCUCCAAAAAGGUAACGGAGGCGUACAAAGGUUCCCUCAGACUGGUUGGAAAUCAGUCGAAGAGUGCAAAGGCAGAAGGGAGCUUGACUGCGAGAAGUACAGUUCGAGCAGGGUGGAAACACGGUCUUAGUGAUCCGACGGUGCUGUGUGGAAGGGCCGUCGCUCAACGGAUAAAAGUUACUCUAGGAUAACAGGCUGAUCUCCCCCAAGAGUUCACAUCGACGGGGAGGUUUGGCACCUCGAUGUCGGCUCAUCGCAACCUGGGGCGGAAGUACGUCCCAAGGGUUGGGCUGUUCGCCCAUUAAAGCGGUACGUGAGCUGGGUUCAGAACGUCGUGAGACAGUUCGGUCCAUAUCCGAUGUAGGCGUGAGAAUAUUGAGAGGAGCCUUCCUUAGUACGAGAGGACCGGGAAGGACGCACCGCUGGUGUACCUGUUAUGAUGCCAAUUGUAAACGCAGGGUAGCCAAGUGCGGAGAGGAUAACCGCUGAAAGCAUCUAAGUGGGAAGCCCACCUCAAGAUGAGUAUUCUCGUGUAAGGUCACGGGAAGACGACCCGUAAAUAGGCACGAGGUGGAAGUGCAGAGAUGUAUGAAGCCGAAGUGUACUAAUAGACCGUCGGCUUGACCG
rnacentral:rRNA from 1 species